AAGCGCCCUCUGCGGGAAUGAAGUCAUCCUACCCUUUUCUGGGUGCGCCCAGAUAACCGACCAGAGCGUUCCUUUCCCAAGCUCUGGGGCCUGAGGACUUCCAGCUACUCCACCAGGUUCUCAGGUCCUGGACUCCGUCCUAAUUCCUCACCUCCUACUGCGAGCCUUGCACAGGACGAGAGAAGGUUUGCCGUGACAGCAAAGAGCUUUGUUUCAUCUACAGUAGGAAAAUGUGCCAACCAGCCUGCGGGAGAGGCUCAGGAGGCUCCUGAAGCAGUGUGCCUGAAGGCAGCCGGGGGACCACAUUCGUGGCUGCAAGAUACACCUGAUGGGGCCACUUGCUCUUGGUCUGAAGCUGCAGAAGGAAAGAAAUGGCCAAUUCUGCAGUUAAAUAGUCCGGCAGAUAAAGGAAAGGCUGACAAAUCUACCUAGCAGCUGCCACUGCUAAGAGAGAAUGGCGCACCAUUUCCUCUAAAGAGUAGAAAUCACACAACAAACAGGGCCUGCAGAUUGUGGUUAUCAGUCUGGAUGCGAACUUGACCUAACACUGGAAAAAUGCAAAUCCACAAGCACAGAACUGAGACUUCCUAUCUGGUUAGCCAGCUGCUUCCAUACUCAGCCAUCGAUACGUUCUUCGAACUGGUCCUUCUCUUCCCUACAACUACCCAGUGACAACAGGGGUCUUCGGUCACUCAAGGCCAGAGACCUUGGCCUCUAGAGUAUGGAGGGAGCCAUCAGCUUGAUGCAAGCUCUUUGAAGCAGGAUAUAAAAACAUGAAGGCAACAGUCAGGCAUCAUAACAUUUUAUGGUGAACUGAAGAAACGCAGGCUUGCACAGGCCGGUUAACAUUUCAGAAGACAUGCCGGUGCUUGACCUAAAGCAAGGCGGCCCACAAGUGGACUGAAAAACAAUACUAGCUCUCUCUCACAGGGCUUGAGGAG
ensembl:lncRNA